rnacentral:snRNA from 1 species
GGGUGUGAGGACAAGCGCUGGGACACCGGUCAGUCCGUCCUUGCCGGGGUCAACCUGCUGACCGGGCUGGCCAGGCGGGGUCCCCAACCGCAUCCCUCACCGAUCCGUGUGUGUCCCUCUGGAAGCUGCUCCUGCGGGCCACGCGGACCCUUCUGCGGAGAGGAGGACCGUUCUUCAGUCAAGGGCAGUGAGUGACAGCGGCCUCGGCUUCAUCCUCCAAACAAGCCCUCGUGCGUUUGUGCAGGACGUAGGGCGGUCAAGCUUCCAAGACCCAGACACCUCCAAAUGAGGCACGUGUGCCGCCCUCU